UAUAAGUUUAGCGCGUGGCCCACCUGGAUGUUGAAUCAGCCUGAUUUCGAAUCAAGACUAACCUAUGGACGGUCUGGAUUCCAUGAAAUUAAGUCGUUUUCUACGCAAGCGUUAUCUGAAAAAAUUCCAGUGAUCUCCCGCCAAGAAAAGGAAGACGCUGGCACGCUGCUGCUGCCGCUAUGUUGGCAUAUGGAAAUGUGAAACAGCCAUGGAACUCCAUCCAUCCCACUCUCAUUCUCCUCCCCAAAUGCAAAACCCUCAAAGACGUGAAUCAAAUCCACGCUCGUCUCAUUACAACCGGACUCGUCAAAAACCGCUCUCUCACCACUAAAAUCCUCAUCUCUCUCGCUUCUUCUCCCCAUCAAACGCUUGUCGAGUUCGCUCGCUACAUCUUCUUCUCUCAAUCCAAACACUGUACCGCUCCCUUCCUUUGGAAUGCCAUUAUCAAAUCCUUCUCUCACGGCUCCGACCCUGAACGGGCUAUCCUCCUCUUCUCAAUCAUGCUUGAGAAUGGAGUUGCUGCCGAUCGGUUCUCUUUUUCUCUCGUUCUCAAAGCGUGCUCUCGGCUCGGUUUCGUUAGGGAAGGAUUGCAGAUUCAGUGUCUGUUGUGGAAGAGCGCGUUCUGGUCGGAUGUUUUCUUGCUGAAUUGUUUGGUUUCUUUCUAUGUGAGAUGCGGGUUUGUUGAGCUUGCGCGGCGGGUUUUCGAUAGAAUGCCUGAGAGAGAUUCGAUCUCUUGGAAUUCGAUGAUUGAUGGGUACUUGAAGAAUGGGAUGGUAGGUGUGGCGCGUGAGCUUUUUGAUAUGAUGGGUGAUGGGGAGAAGAAUUUGGUGUCUUGGAAUUCGAUGAUAAGUGGGUAUGCGAGAUUGGAGGAGGGGGUGGAGGUAGCUCGGGAGAUGUUCGAUCAGAUGCCUGAAAGAGAUUUGGUUUCUUGGAACUCCAUGAUUGAUGGUUAUGUGAAGUGUGGACUGUUGGAAGAUGCACAUGAGUUGUUUGAUUUGAUGCCAGAAAGGGAUGUGGUCACUUGGGCUAGCAUGAUACAUGGGUAUGCGAAAUCUGGAAGUGUUGAGGCAGCUCGGCAUUUGUUUGAUGAAAUGCCUGAAAGAGAUGUGGUUGCUUGGAAUGUCAUGGUGGCAGGUUAUGUACAGAAUGGGCAUUGUGUGGAUGCCUUAAAACUCUUCCAAAAGAUGCGGUUUGGCAGCAAUUUAUCUCCUGAUCACACCACUCUGGUGACCGCUCUUUCUGCAGCUGCUGAAUUGGGGCGCAUUGAUGAGGGGAUAACAAUACAUGAUUAUAUCGAGAGAAACAAGUUUCCUUUGGAUGGAAAGCUUGGUGUAGCUCUCAUAGACAUGUACUCUAAGUGUGGGAGAAUCGAGAAUGCUGCACGGGUAUUUGAGAAUUUGGAACAUAAAAGUGUUGACCAUUGGAAUGCAAUGAUUGGUGGGUUGGCUAUUCAUGGAUUAGGUGAGUUAGCUCUUCAUCUAUUCAUGGAAAUGGAGAAAAGUUCCAUCAAACCGGAUGAUAUUACAUUCAUUGGAAUUCUAAGUGCUUGCAGUCACGCUGGUUUGGUGAAGGAAGGUUUGAUGUGUUUUGAGCUUAUGCGUAGAUUGUACAACGUAGAGCCCAAAGUUCAACACUACGGGUGCAUUGUCGACAUCCUUGGCCGAGCAGGGCACUUGGAAGAGGCGAAAAAACUAAUAGAGGAAAUGCCCAUUAAGCCAAAUGAUGUGGUUUGGAGGGCUUUGCUCAGUGCUUGCAGGAAUCAUGGAAAUUUCAGCAUUGGCCAACAGGCUGCUAAGCAAUUGAUUGAGUUGGAUUCUUGCAAUUCUAGUUCAUAUGUGCUUCUAUCAAAUCUUUAUGCCGGUGUUGGCAUGUGGAGUGAUGCUAGCAAGGUAAGGAUGAUGAUGAAAGAAAGAGAGAUGAGAAAAAUACCUGGUUGCAGUUGGAUUGAACUCAAUGGCACUGUUCACGAGUUUGUUGUGGGAGAUAAAUCCCAUCCUCAGGCCAAAGAGAUCUAUGUCAUGUUGGACAAGAUAUGUGCUUUCUAAAUGGGCGUGGAUCUUGACCACCAAUUGGUUGCAUCUUGCAUGAUAAAGAUUUUUUUUGCCUACCUUUGACAGAGCUUUACCUUCUAUUGCAGAGAGUCCAGGCGAGAUUCCGAAAGGUACAUGUGCCAACACAUUCCUCAUUGUGCAAGAUCCAAGCCUCUUCAACAUGAGCCACAAAAUGAUGUCCCAGCCCAAAAUCAAGUCAGUCCACUUAUCAGGUGAAUCACUUGAACAUUGAAUGUGGACGGUUAGCUUUCUUUUUUAAACAUCCAUUAUUUGCUUGUGCACGUGGCCCACCUGAUCCUGUUUUGUUGGAUUUUUUAUGAUGAAUCUCUCAUCCUUGCUCAAGGGGUCUGAAUUCGAUCAGCUUCAAUAAGGGGUGACUUGAGCAUGGAAGGACAUUGGAAGGCUAAGAUGAUUUGAUGUGAAUGGGAGCCCAUGGGCUGUAGUUUAUAGAACUCAACCACAUGCCCCGGUUUAUUCA